rnacentral:rRNA from 1 species
GAUGAACGCUGGCGGCGUGCCUAAUACAUGCAAGUCGAGCGGUAAGGUUCUGCACUUAGUAUUUAACCAGAGUAGGUCCAUGCAAAUGGAAACCACCUGAAGCAGGGAACUCCAAGGCUGGAGAACCCGAGUUGAAUCCUGAGUGUAGAAUACACGAGCGGCGGACGGCUGAGUAACACGUAGGAACGUACCCCAAAGUGAGGGAUAAGCACCAGAAAUGGUGUCUAAUACCGCAUGUGAUCUUCGGAUUAAAGCUUCGGCGCUUUGGGAACGCCUGCGUAAGAUUAGCUAGUUGGUGAGGUAAUAGCUCACCAAGGCGACGAUCUUAGCUGGUCUGAGAGGAUGAUCAGCCAGACU